rnacentral:lncRNA from 1 species
CAAUAUGAAACAUUGCUGCAGAAGGAUUGACAUCAAAAUACCCUUCCAUCACAGGACAGGACAGGCAGGCUUGUAGUGCUGUAGUGCCUUCCACUAGGCUAUUCCUCUUGUCAGCAGAGUAAGGCUCUGCAUUGUCACAGAAUGCAGCUUCACAAGAAAUAGAAGCAACUUUUGUAAAGUUAGUAGAUGAAGAAGACAUCAGUACUGGCUCAAAUUCCACAAGUUUUCGGUUUUUUUGUGACAACUGCCUUAUUUCCUGUAUAUGCACACGACUGUUCCCAGAGUGCAAGACGUACAUAUCCACCACGAAAUCACCUGAGGUCUUUGUUUUUUC